rnacentral:misc_RNA from 1 species
AACUUUUUGCAACGGAUCACUAGGCUCUCGUAUCGAUGAAGAACGCAGCGAAUUGCGAUAAGUAAUGUGAAUUGCAGAAUUCAGUGAAUCAUCGAAUCUUUGAACGCACCUUGCACCCUUUGGAAUUCCGAAGGGUAUGCUCGUUUGAGUGUCAUUGUACUCUCACACUCUCUGAUCCUUUGGAUUCGGGGAGCGGUGGACUUGGGUGUUUGCUGCUUUUCGUUGUGGCUCACCUCAAAUGCGUUAGUGCACCUCUUGGUUGGACAUAGUACGGCGUGAUAAGUAUCUUCGCCGGCACCUCGCGAGAGGGUGGCCGAUCGAGAGCUCUGUGCUUUCCAACCGUCUUCGGACAACAUCUGACAACUUGACCUCAAAUCGAGUAGGACUACCCGCUGAACUUAAGCAUAUCAAUAAGCGGAGGCU